CCUACGGGUGGCUGCAGUGGGGAAUAUUGCACAAUGGGCGCAAGCCUGAUGCAGCCAUGCCGCGUGUGUGAAGAAGGCCUUCGGGUUGUAAAGCACUUUCAGCGGGGAGGAAGGCGUUAAGGUUAAUAACCUUGGCGAUUGACGUUACCCGCAGAAGAAGCACCGGCUAACUCCGUGCCAGCAGCCGCGGUAAUACGGAGGGUGCAAGCGUUAAUCGGAAUUACUGGGCGUAAAGCGCACGCAGGCGGUCUGUCAAGUCGGAUGUGAAGUCCCCGGGCUCAACCUGGGAACUGCAUUCGAAACUGGGAGGCUAGGGUCUUGUAGGGGGGGGUAGAAUUCCAGGGGGAGCGGUGAAAUUCGUAGAGGUCUGGAGGAAUACCGGUGGCGAAGGCGGCCCCCUGGACAAAGACUGACGCUCAGGUGCGAAAGCGUGGGGAGCAAACAGGAUUAGAUACCCCAGUAGUC
rnacentral:rRNA from 1 species